GAACAUACCAAUUGUUGCCUCGGCGGAUCAGCCCGCUCCCGGUAAAACGGGACGGCCCGCCAGAGGACCCCUAAACUCUGUUUCUAUAUGUAACUUCUGAGUAAAACCAUAAAUAAAUCAAAACUUUCAACAACGGAUCUCUUGGUUCUGGCAUCGAUGAAGAACGCAGCAAAAUGCGAUAAGUAAUGUGAAUUGCAGAAUUCAGUGAAUCAUCGAAUCUUUGAACGCACAUUGCGCCCGCCAGUAUUCUGGCGGGCAUGCCUGUUCGAGCGUCAUUUCAACCCUCAAGCCCCCGGGUUUGGUGUUGGGGAUCGGCGAGCCCUUGCGGCAAGCCGGCCCCGAAAUCUAGUGGAAGUCUCGCUGCAGCUUCCAUUGCGUAGUAGUAAAACCCUCGCAACUGGUACGCGGCGCGGCCAAGCCGUUAAACCCCCAACUUCUGAAUGUUGACCUCGGAUCAGGUAGGAAUACCCGCUGAACUUAAGCAUAUCAAUAAGCGGAG
rnacentral:rRNA from 1 species